UGCUGAGCUCUUUUUGGGAUGCGGGUGCUGUAGCAAACAAGUAGUAUAGCUCCUGUAGAGAAGGACUUCUCAGGAUGCAAACACAAGUGCCCUCAGCAGGGAGGGAUGCUAAUGUCUGCUAAUCUUUAUUUCUUCCCUCAGGAACUGGGGUCAUGUGUCUCCUUCCAGCCUUCAGCGGAUAAAAACAAUCCAAGCAGAAAGGAGCUCUGCAGUGUGCUGUGGGAGACCACUUGAUCCUGAGCCUUUGACAAUCAUGUUCUAUACCUCCUGAGAGCUCUGCUUGCAGUGCUGAUGGCUGGCAACAGGACUUGAAGCAUGGAAGCAGCAGGUCAGCACUGAAGACAGACAGUAUGCACCCUUCGCUGGGGUUUCUCUGUGGGUAUGGCCCAUCUGGAUGAUACUUCAGAAAGGGGCUGAAAGAGAAGAAGGAAGUGGUCUUGGAGCAUCUCUGCCCAGGUGGAUGCAGGCAGUCCUGAGUUUGCAUGGAAAGGAUCCUCAAGCUGUGUCUGUUUUUGUGCAGGCUGGUGCCCAAGCUGUGCAGCAGCUCCUGUGGGCACAGACACCACCUAUAGGAACUAUAGCUCUCUAAACAAAACCUUUCUCCUGCAAGAGCAUAUGAGAAAGGCAGACCAAAAUUUAGGUCAUGCCUAAUCUGUAUCAAAGAUUAACUUCUUGAAUGGAUCUUUAUAAGCAUGUCAUGGAUGUGAGGAGCCCAUAAUAAAAUCAGAUGAAAGUAGUA